UAAGCCAUGCAUGUGUAAGUACAGGCCGACUUAAGGCGAAACCGCGGACGGCUCAUUAAAUCAGAUAUAACUCAUUGGAUCUCUGCUGAACCGCAUUACUUGGAUAACUGUGGUAAUUCUAGAGCUAAUACAUGCCUUUGUAGUCUCCGACCGCGAGGGAGGAGCGCUUUUAUUAGACCAAAACCCUCGGCAGCCGGUUCCCGCAAGGGGCCGGCCGCACACAUCUUGGUGAAUCAGAAUAACUUUUGCCGAGCGCACGACCCCUCCCGUAACCCGGGUUGGGUCGGCGCCGCGUCCUGCAGGCGUCUGCCUUAUCAGCUCUCGAUUGUAGGUUAAACGCCUACAAUGGCUAUCACGGGUAACGGGGAAUCAGGGUUCGAUUCCGGAGAGGGAGCCUGAGAAACGGCUACCACAUCUAAGGAAGGCAGCAGGCGCGCAAAUUACCCACUCCCGGCACGGGGAGGUAGUGACGAAAAAUACUGUUGCGAGCCCCGAACGGGGCCUCGCAAUUGGAAUGAGUACACUUUAAAUCCUUGUACGAGGAUCGAGUGGAGGGCAAGUCUGGUGCCAGCCGCCGCGGUAAUUCCAGCUCCACUAGCGUAUAUUAAAGUUGUUGCGGUUGAAACGCUCGUAGUUUGACUUCUGCUCCGGACCGGCGGUCCGCCUUAGCGGCGGCUACUGCCGGGUUCCGAGCUGUGUCCCCGCCGGCGCACAUGGGGUUUUUAUGCCCUUAACCGGGUGUCCCCUUGUGGCCGGCACGUUUACUUUGAAAAAAUUAGAGUGCUCAGAGCAGGCUGGUUUUUGCUUACAGCCCGAAUGGUCGUGCAUGGAAUGAUGGAACAGGACCUCGGUUCUAUUUUGUCGGUUUUUCGGAACCCGAGGUAAUGAUUAAUAGAAGCAGACGGGGGCAUUCGUACUGCGACGCUAGAGGUGAAAUUCUUAGACCGUCGCAUGACGACCUACUGCGAAAGCAUCUGCCAAGGAUGUUUUCAUUGAUCAAGAACGAAAGUUAGAGGUUCGAAGGCGAUCAGAUACCGCCCUAGUUCUAACCUUAAACGAUGCUGACUAGCGAUCCGCCGCAGUUAUUCCCAUGACCCGGCGGGUAGCUUCCGGGAAACCAAAGUCUUUGAGUUCCGGGGGAAGUAUGGUUGCAAAGCUGAAACUUAAAGGAAUUGACGGAAGGGCACCACCAGGAGUGGAGCCUGCGGCUCAAUUUGACUCAACACGGGGAAACUCACCAGGCCAGGACACCGGAAGGAUUGACAGAAUGAAGGCUCUUUCUCGAUUCGGUGGGUGGUGGUGCAUGGCCGUUCUUAGUUGGUGGAGUGAUCUGUCUGGUUAAUUCCGAUAACGAACGAGACUCUAGCCUGCUAAAUAGUCGACGGAUCUCAACCCCGUUGCCCCCGUUGUCGUUCGCGGCGAUGCGGGGCGCGGGUUCCCCGAAACCCGGUCGUCGUGCGGGCCUCCACCGUCGGUCGGUUAGCGCCGCCGGCGGCGCGCCCCGCGGCGCCGGAAACUGGCGUCCGCUUCGCAGUCUUCUUCUUAGAGGGAUAAGCGGCAGCAAAAAAUAUACUAGCCGCACGAGAGUUUGAGCCAUAACAGGUCUGUGAUGCCCUUAGAUGUUCUGGGCCGCACGCGCGCUACAAUGGAGAGUUCAGCGAGCUGGCCCUGCUCCGAGAGGAGCGGGUAACCUCGUGAAAGCUGUCCUUAAAGGGGAUUGGGGCUUGCAAAUGUUCCCCAUGAACGAGGAAUUCCCAGUAGGCGCAAUUCACCAGAUUGCGCCGAUUUAGUCCCUGCCCUUUGUACACACCGCCCGUCGCUACUACCGAUUGAAUGGUCUAGUGAGGGCACCGGACUGGCGCCCUUGGAGCCGCUACCGCCUCGGCGGGCAGCGCCCUCGGGUCGACGGAAAGGUGUCCAAGCUGGGUCAUUUAGAGGAAGUAAAAGUCGUAACAAGGUUUCCGUAGGUGAACCUGCGGAAG
rnacentral:rRNA from 1 species